rnacentral:rRNA from 1 species
GAUGAACGCUGGCGGCGCGCCUAACACAUGCAAGUCGAACGGUACCCCUCUCCGGAGGGAAGCGAGUGGCGAACGGCUGAGUAACACGUGGAGAACCUGCCCCCUCCCCCGGGAUAGCCGCCCGAAAGGACGGGUAAUACCGGAUACCCCGGGGUGCCGCAUGGCACCACGGCUAAAGCCCCGACGGGAGGGGAUGGCUCCGCGGCCCAUCAGGUAGACGGCGGGGUGACGGCCCACCGUGCCGACAACGGGUAGCCGGGUUGAGAGACCGACCGGCCAGAUUGGGACUGAGACACGGCCCAGACUCCUACGGGAGGCAGCAGUGGGGAAUCUUGCGCAAUGGGGGGAACCCUGACGCAGCGACGCCGCGUGCGGGACGGAGGCCUUCGGGUCGUAAACCGCUUUCAGCAGGGAAGAGUCAAGACUGUACCUGCAGAAGAAGCCCCGGCUAACUACGUGCCAGCAGCCGCGGUAAUACGUAGGGGGCGAGCGUUAUCCGGAUUCAUUGGGCGUAAAGCGCGCGUAGGCGGCCCGGCAGGCCGGGGGUCGAAGCGGGGGGCUCAACCCCCCGAAGCCCCCGGAACCUCCGCGGCUUGGGUCCGGUAGGGGAGGGUGGAACACCCGGUGUAGCGGUGGAAUGCGCAGAUAUCGGGUGGAACACCGGUGGCGAAGGCGGCCCUCUGGGCCGAGACCGACGCUGAGGCGCGAAAGCUGGGGGAGCGAACAGGAUUAGAUACCCUGGUAGUCCCAGCCGUAA